CUAUAAUCCGGCCACUUUGGCGCAUCAUGCUUAAUAGGGAAUCCGGUGAAAAUCCGGAGCUGACGCGCAGCGGUAAGGGGGAACGACGCGACAACGGGCACUGCCAUGGGGUGGGAAGCCGUCGCCUAGGCCUGAUGCCCCCGAGCCCGAAGACCUGCCAGAGUUCGUAUUUCCCG
rnacentral:ncRNA from 1 species